UGCGUAGGCGGGUCUUUAAGUCAGGGGUGAAAUCCUGGAGCUCAACUCCAGAACUGCCUUUGAUACUGAGGAUCUUGAGUUCGGGAGAGGUGAGUGGAACUGCGAGUGUAGAGGUGAAAUUCGUAGAUAUUCGCAAGAACACCAGUGGCGAAGGCGGCUCACUGGCACGAUACUGACGCUGAGGCACGAAAGCUGGGGGAGCAAACA
rnacentral:rRNA from 1 species